CCUACGGGUGGCAGCAGUGGGGAAUAUUGGACAAUGGGGGGAACCCUGAUCCAGCCAUGCCGCGUGUGUGAAGAAGGCCCUCGGGUUGUAAAGCACUUUCAGUGAGGAAGAACGCCUGGUGGUUAAUACCCAUCAGGAAAGACAUCACUCACAGAAGAAGCACCGGCUAACUCCGUGCCAGCAGCCGCGGUAAUACGGAGGGUGCGAGCGUUAAUCGGAAUUACUGGGCGUAAAGCGCGCGUAGGUGGCUUGAUAAGCCGGUUGUGAAAGCCCCGGGCUCAACCUGGGAACGGCAUCCGGAACUGUCAAGCUAGAGUGCAGGAGAGGAAGGUAGAAUUCCCGGUGUAGCGGCGAAAUGCGUAGAGAUCGGGAGGAAUACCAGUGGCGAAGGCGGCCUUCUGGACUGACACUGACACUGAGGUGCGAAAGCGUGGGUAGCAAACAGGAUUAGAUACCCCUGUAGUC
rnacentral:rRNA from 1 species